ACACCGGAACAGAGCAGGGGACAUCACCGGGGCGAGAAUUAGGAAAUGAAUCUGCAGAAGAAGGUAAGUUCCAUCACGUCAGGAUAUUUUUUGAGCAUCCAAAGGCAACUUCCCUUUGAAUAUGUCAUUAAGAAGCUAACAGGAGGAACUUACUUUACUUCGCAGACCCCCAUCAAGAGUUCCUUGCCCAUCCAGGCUGGUCGUUUGUCUCGUCAACUCAUCUUUUGCCACAGAGGAGCAGUCUGUUCUUGUGCCUUCAAAAUUUCUGUUUUAAAGCAUGCCCAUCCUUCCUUUGUGAGAAUGUUUUUAGAGGAAAAUGGACAUGUAGUGAAUGAGCCAGGAAGGGGAUAUGAAUGCUUUUAUGAGCCUGAGCAAGGCCUGUAGUUUUGCCCUUGAAGUCACCAUGGAAAAGAUAAGGACAGCUGUUGCUUAACAGCUGUUAGGUUAUAAGGGGCAAGACAAGAAGAGCUGAAUGUGAUAGAUGAAUGCCAAGAAACUCUGAAGUCAAUGAAAAAUAGAAAAGCCCACAUGUUUGCCUUGUGCAAGAAGACUUUCACCAAUGAUAAGUUGCAAGAUCGCAUGUAGGGAUAGAGAAAUUAUGUAUUAGGGUUAGAAGAGAGCAAUAAAGUGGCAUUUGCUUGAUUCAUAUUGGAACAUGCAGUGUCCAGGUCUUUAUCUUCUCAGAUAGUGACCUCGGUGUGCUAAUGAGCUGUGCAGCCCAGAAUUGUUUGGCAGGUAAAACAGCAGCUUGGGAACAGAGGAAGAGCUCCAAAGAAGGUACACUGGCCAGAUUACAGCUCAGUGGGACUGAGACUCGGGCAAAUUGGAGGACGAUUCACUAUGCUAAGAAGAACAUAUGUUGCAACAGGAACACCCUUGUGAGGUUCGAAGUAGUCACCUGUUCAUUUGAUCAGACACCAAUUGCCUCUGAAAAAAUGAGGCCCAGCGAGAAGAGAAAUAACCUAAUCACCAUGCAGCCUUCAUGGCCAGAACAGGAACAGAAGUAGGACCGCCAAGACUUAGCUGUGUCUGCAAACUACAGAGGCAAAAAAGCCGUAUGUCAUCAUCACAAUAUCAUGUUCCUACUAACCUUCAGUUAUUCCCUGUUCCAGGAUCCAAGAGGACAUUCAGUGAUGUCAAAGAUCAACAUUUCCAGCUAAUGGGCUAUUUGGACUUUAAAACAAUAGUCGUUUAUUUCCAUUUCCCUAGGACACAUUGGACAUUAUUCUUUUGUUUUCUCAUGCUGUGAAACCCUGGGUCAGUGAUAGAAUUUGCUAAGUUUUGUUGAUUGUAAUUGGUCUUUUAUGUAUCUUAUCCGAUAUCUAGCAGAUAGCCAGUGAUAACCUUAAUGAAAUAAUACCCUUACAAGGGCAAGCUGUUUUGACAUCAGAACAUAUGAGCCUUUUUAAAAUUAAUGAAAAGGGGGAGAUGUCAUAGACAAGUAAAAGAAUUAUAAAAGAAAGGCCUGAUGAAAUCAGCCUUGCUCUGCUACAUUGCCAAAGCUAGCCUGUCACUUCUUUGAAGUGCAGUUACAAGUUCCCAUGUGAAGCUAUUUUGAGAGUGAGAGUUCAUUAACACAACAAUCUAUUCUGAGGGUGAAAAACAAAUGCACCUGCAAUAAACAAGAACUCUGUCUCAUGGGAAUCAGUGAACAAAAUAUGUAAAGUAACCAAGAACAGAGGAAUAAAAUAGACAAGUAAAAUAUCUUUUACUAACCAACAGAGAAGAUGCUAUUUAAUAAAAUGCAAUUGCAGCAGCAUUGCAGCAAAAGAUCAGCUAGAAUGCUGAAAAAUUAUUGUGAUGAUUCCUUUACCUUAUUUAGUCGUGCAGACCAAGUAGCAAGUGCAAUAUUUCUACCUGGCUUAGCUGUGGCUAAGGGUUUGCGUGGUUUGGAAAAAAAUGGUUUUCUGGGUGGGAAAAACAGCAAAUAAAACUUCAGAGUUAUUGUCAAUGUUGGCAACAGACACUAAUAUAAUUAGACAU